AACGAACGCUGGCGGCAGGCCUAACACAUGCAAGUCGAACGCUGUAGCAAUACAGAGUGGCAGACGGGUGAGUAACGCGUGGGAACAUGCCCUUCGGUUCGGAAUAACUCAGGGAAACUUGAGCUAAUACCGGAUACGCCCUCAGGGGGAAAGAUUUAUUGCCGAAGGAUUGGCCCGCGUCCGAUUAGCUAGUUGGUGAGGUAAUGGCUCACCAAGGCGACGAUCGGUAGCUGGUCUGAGAGGAUGAUCAGCCACACUGGGACUGAGACACGGCCCAGACUCCUACGGGAGGCAGCAGUGGGGAAUAUUGGACAAUGGGCGCAAGCCUGAUCCAGCCAUGCCGCGUGAGUGAUGAAGGCCCUAGGGUUGUAAAGCUCUUUCGCCAGGGACGAUAAUGACGGUACCUGGAUAAGAAGCCCCGGCUAACUUCGUGCCAGCCGCCGCCGUAAUAC
rnacentral:rRNA from 1 species